CUCAUUUGAAAUGUAGUCGCUGUCAGGGUUGAAUCAAGUGGGCUGUGCUGCUACCCUGCCUCAUUCUUCUGCCUUCACGCCUCGUAAGAGUGAUGACAGACCUAAUGCUCUAUUAAGUUCACCUACAACAGAAACAGGUCAUGCUUCACCCCUUCCUCCAUCUGCUGCACCUACCACUGAUCCUACAGAUUCCAUAACAAGGCAGAAUUCAAGACAGAGAGAAGAAGAGCUGAAAUUAAUAGAUCAACUGCGUAAACAUAUUGAGUACCGGUUGAAAGUGUCUCUGCCUUGUGAUCUUGGAGCAGCUCUAACUGACGGUGUUGUUCUUUGCCAUUUGGCCAAUCAUGUGCGACCUCGAUCUGUCCCAAGCAUUCAUGUUCCCUCACCAGCUGUACCUAAAUUAACAAUGGCGAAAUGCAGGCGAAAUGUGGAGAAUUUCCUAGAAGCUUGCAGAAAAAUUGGUGUACCUCAGGACAAUCUUUGUUCCCCUUCCGACAUCCUUCAGCUAAACCUCAGCGUUAAAAGAACUGUUGAAACGCUCCUUUCUCUUGGGGCACACUCAGAAGAAUCCAGUUUUGUCUGUCUC
rnacentral:sRNA from 1 species